GACGAACGCUGGCGGCGUGCCUAAUACAUGCCAGUAGAACGCUGAAGAGAGGAGCUUACUCUUCUUGGAUGAGUUGCGAACGGGUGAGUAACGCGUAGGUAACCUGCCUUGUAGCGGGGGAUAACUAUUGGAAACGAUAGCUAAUACCGCAUAACAAUGGAUGACACAUGUCCUUUAUUUGAAAGGGGCAAUUGCUCCACUACAAGAUGGACCUGCGUUGUAUUAGCUAGUAGGUGAGGUAAUGGCUCACCUAGGCGACGAUACAUAGCCGACCUGAGAGGGUGAUCGGCCACACUGGGACUGAGACACGGCCCAGACUCCUACGGGAGGCAGCAGUAGGGAAUCUUCGGCAAUGGGGGCAACCCUGACCGAGCAACGCCGCGUGAGUGAAGAAGGUUUUCGGAUCGUAAAGCUCUGUUGUAAGUCAAGAACGGGUGUGAGAGUGGAAAGUUCACACUGUGACGGUAGCUUACCAGAAAGGGACGGCUAACUACGUG
rnacentral:rRNA from 1 species